GACGAACCGUGCGAACGUUGUUCGGAUUCACUGGGCUUAAAGGGCGCGUAGGCGGGCGGUCAAGUCAGGGGUGAAAUCCUUCGGCUCAACCGGAAAAGUGCCUUUGAUACUGGCCGUCUCGAGGGAGGUAGGGGCAUGCGGAACUUCCGGUGGAGCGGUGAAAUGCGUAGAUAUCGGAAGGAACGCCGGUGGCGAAAGCGGCGUGCUGGACCUCUUCUGACGCUGAGGCGCGAAAGCCAGGGGAGCAAACGGG
rnacentral:rRNA from 1 species